rnacentral:rRNA from 1 species
AUUGAACGCUGGCGGCAGGCUUAACACAUGCAAGUCGAGCGGAGAUGAGGUGCUUGCACCUUAUCUUAGCGGCGGACGGGUGAGUAAUGCUUAGGAAUCUGCCUAUUAGUGGGGGACAACAUUCCGAAAGGAAUGCUAAUACCGCAUACGCCCUACGGGGGAAAGCAGGGGAUCUUCGGACCUUGCGCUAAUAGAUGAGCCUAAGUCGGAUUAGCUAGUUGGUGGGGUAAAGGCCUACCAAGGCGACGAUCUGUAGCGGGUCUGAGAGGAUGAUCCGCCACACUGGGACUGAGACACGGCCCAGACUCCUACGGGAGGCAGCAGUGGGGAAUAUUGGACAAUGGGCGGAAGCCUGAUCCAGCCAUGCCGCGUGUGUGAAGAAGGCCUCUUGGUUGUAAAGCACUUUAAGCGAGGAGGAGGCUACCUGGAUUAAUACUCUAGGAUAGUGGACGUUACUCGCAGAAUAAGCACCGGCUAACUCUGUGCCAGCAGCCGCGGUAAAAC